UUCAAGAAGAAGCUUAGACCUGAUGGUACGAUUGAAAAGUAUAAGGCACGGCUUGUGGCCAAGGGUUAUACCCAGAAAGAAGGUGAAGACUUCUUUGAUACUUACUCACCCGUGGCUAGACUGACCACAAUUCGGGUGCUACUAUCACUGGCUGCCUCACAUGGUCUUCUCGUUCAUCAAAUGGACGUUAAGACGGCUUUCCUUAAUGGAGAGUUGAAGAAGGAAAUUUACAUGGAUCAGCCAGAUGGUUUUGUAGUACCUGGUCAGGAAGGAAAGGUGUGCAAGUUAUUAAAGUCUUUAUAUGGCCUUAAACAAGCUCCUAAGGAGUGGCAUGAGAAGUUCGAAAGAACAUUAACUACUGCCGGCUUUGUAGUAAACGAUGGUGACAAGUGCGUGUACUAUCGCUAUGGUGGGGGCGAAGGAGUUAUUCUUUGUCUGUAUGUCGAUGACAUAUUGAUCUUUGGAACCAAACUUGAUUUAAUCAAGGAGGUUAAGGAUUUCUUAUCUCGCUGUUUUGAGAUGAAGGAUCUAGGAGUAGCUGAUGUUAUCUUAAACAUCAAGCUGUUGAGAGAUGAGAAUGGUGGGAUCACACUGCUUCAGUCUCAUUAUGUGGAAAAGAUUAAGGCCACAAGUGGUUAUGUUUUUACACUUGGUGGUGGCGCUGUUUCCUGGAAGUCUUGCAAGCAGACCAUCUUAACGAGGUCAACUAUGGAAGCAGAACUCACAGCAUUAGACACUGCCACUGUUGAAGCAGAGUGGCUUCGUGAACUCUUGAUGGACUUACCUAUGGUUGAAAAACCAAUACCCCCUAUCCUGAUGAACUGUGAUAAUCAAACUGUGAUCGUCAAGAUAAACAGUUCUAAGGACAAUAUGAAGUCCUCAAGGCAUGUGAAGAGGAGACUAAAAUCUGUCAGAAAAUUGAGGAACUCCGGAGUUAUUACGUUGGAUUAUAUCCAAACGUCGAAAAACUUGGCAGAUCCCUUCACAAAGGGUCUAUCACGUAAUGUGGUAGAUAAUGCAUCGAUGGAGAUGGGUUUGAGACCCACC
rnacentral:rRNA from 1 species